ACGGCCACAUCACGUUAAAAUAUUAUUUCCCGUACAAUCACCGAACUUAAGCAUGCUCGAGCCUGUUCAGUACCUAGAUGGGUGACCGCUUAGGAAUACCAGGUUCUGUAAG